AUGGCGGAUGCACCUCUUUACAAGCAGCGCCGCAGGUACACCAGGGAGCUCCACGACGUCGACCUCCACGGCAACCACAAGCUCCACGUUGUUUGCACAAGCAAGGGUGAAGACGUGGACAAGAUGCUGUCCAUGCUCAGGAGGAAGCUCGGUGGAGUGCCCCUCAAACUAGUUGGCGUUGAUGUCGAGUACACGCCAAUGGAACUAGACAAAUUCCUCAUGAAUGGUGAGUACACCUUCGUCGGAUUCGCCAUUGAAGGAGACAAAAGCAAGCUGAAGCUAUCUGGUUUGGAGAUCAACUCCGAAAACUAA
rnacentral:rRNA from 1 species